rnacentral:rRNA from 1 species
GAAGGUGGAUUUAUUAGUAAUUAUAUUUUAUUAUUGUAUAGUGAAUUGUGUAUCAACGUGUGUACAUAUUGCCCGUCGCUCUCUUUUGUUUUGAGAUAAGUCGUAACAAAGUUGGUGUACUGGAAAGUGUAUCUUUUUGU